rnacentral:sRNA from 1 species
GGAAGGAUCAUUACAGAAUUGUCAACGGGUUGUUGCUGGUCCUCGAACGGGGACAUGUGCACGCUCUGUUUACACAUCCACUCACACCUGUGCACCCUCUGUAGUUCUGUGGUCUGGGGGACCCUGUCUUCCUGCCGUGGUUCUACGUCUUUACACACACACUGUAAUAAAGUCUUAUGGAAUGUAUGCCGCGUCUAACGCAAUACAAUACAACUUUCAGCAACGGAUCUCUUGGCUCUCGCAUCGAUGAAGAACGCAGCGAAAUGCGAUAAGUAAUGUGAAUUGCAGAAUUCAGUGAAUCAUCGAAUCUUUGAACGCACCUUGCGCCCCUUGGCUAUUCUGAGGGGCAUGCCUGUUUGAGUAUCAUGAACACCUCAACUCUCAUGGUUCGCCGUGAUGAGCUUGGACUCUGGGGGUUUUGCUGGCCUGCGGUCGGCUCCCCUCAAAUAAAUCAGCCUCCCAGUGUUUGGUGGCAUCACGGGUGUGAUAAAUAUCUACGCUCGCAGUUGUCCGCCAGGUAACCUUUGGUGACAAAGGUUCGCUGGAGCUCACAGAUGUCUCUCCUCAGCGAGGACAGCUUUUUGAACGUUCGAUCUCAAAUCAGGUAGGACUACCCGCUGAACUUAAGCAUAUCAAUAAGCGGAGGAAAAGAAACUAACAAGGAUUCCCCUAGUAACUGCGAGUGAAGCGGGAAGAGCUCAAAUUUAAAAUCUGGCGUGCCUCUGGUCGU